GUGAGUCAUCGAAUCUUUGAACGCACAUUGCGCCCCCUGGCAUUCCGGGGGGCACACCUGUUCGAGCGCCAUUUCGACCCUCAAGCACGGCUUGGUGUUGGGCGCGGUCUUUACCGACCUGCCCGUAACUCGUAGGCGGCCGCCGCCCGCGCCCCCAGCGUAGCAAGCACACGCGUUCGCUCGGGGACGGUGCGCGCCCGGCCGCCCACAACACUUCAAGGUUUGGCCUCGGAUCAGGUGGGGAUACCCGCUGAACUUAAGCAUAUCAAUAAGCGGAGGA
rnacentral:misc_RNA from 1 species